UACGUAGGGGGCUAGCGUUGUCCGGAAUCAUUGGGCGUAAAGCGCGUGUAGGCGGCCCGGUAAGUCCGCUGUGAAAGUCGGGGGCUCAACCCUCGAAUGCCGGUGGAUACUGUCGGGCUCGAGUACGGAAGAGGCGAGUGGAAUUCCUGGUGUAGCGGUGAAAUGCGCAGAUAUCAGGAGGAACACCGAUGGCGAAGGCAGCUCGCUGGGACGUUACUGACGCUGAGACGCGAAAGCGUGGGGAGCAAACAGG
rnacentral:rRNA from 1 species